rnacentral:rRNA from 1 species
CCUACGGGUGGCUGCAGUAGGGAAUCUUCCACAAUGGACGAAAGUCUGAUGGAGCAACGCCGCGUGAGUGAAGAAGGGUUUCGGCUCGUAAAGCUCUGUCGGUAGUGAAGAAAGAUAGAGGUAGUAACUGGCCUUUAUUUGACGGUAAUUACUUAGAAAGUCACGGCUAACUAUGUGCCAGCAGCCGAGGUAAUAAGUAGGGGGCAAGCGUUGUACGGAUUUGUUGGGCGUAAAGGGAGUGAAGGCGGUUCAAUAAGUCUGAUGUGAAAGCCUUCGGCUCAACCGGAGAAUUGCAUCAGAGACUGUUGAACUUGAGUGCAGAAGAGGAGAGUGGAACUCCAUGUGUAGCGGUGGAAUGCGUAGAUAUAUGGAAGAACACCAGUGGCGAAGGCGGCUCUCUGGUCUGCAACUGACGCUGAGGCUCGAAAGCAUGGGUAGCGAACAGGAUUAGAUACCCUUGUAGUC